CUAAAAACAGAUGGCAAAUUGCGGU
rnacentral:piRNA from 1 species